rnacentral:lncRNA from 1 species
CUCCAGUCGGAGCUGAUGGAUGUGGCCCGGAGAAAAGUAUAUGUAUGGAUAUUAGACCUUCUAUACAUCUAAAACAAUUUUCUGAAGGUUUAUAUUUGUAUACAUUUAUAGCCUACUUGUAGGUGGCCUAGUGUUUUAUGUGAACGUCAUCAUGACUUUACAGAUCGAGUGACAUAAUUGUAGGUGUGUAUUGAGUGGGAGGAGCAUACAUCGGCAUUAUUUAUACAGGCCUGUCUUCUUUUAUCGGCAUCACUCUGAUGACCCAAACACGCUCCAAGAUGAUCCCUCUUUUUGCUUUGGGUUACAUUCUAUUAGUUUGGCUGAUUUGCGGCUUCACCAAUGUUUCUGGGGCUACGGUGGGAGCUACAGAAGCCUAUAAAAACAACUGCUGCCGAAAAACCUGGAUGGAAAUAGGGUAUGACAUCCGCAAGGCCGUAUGCUGUGAGAAUCAUCUUUAUCCAGGGGCAGAGCGGUCACGCUGUGGAGGGCAGGCUUUCAACCCUGAAGAAGACACUUGUUGUAAAGUAGAAAAUGGAUACACCAAAACAGCUGUUACAGAGGGUCUUAGCGAAAAGGUGUCAUCUUGCUGUGGACUGAAGGCCUACAACCCACUCAAUGAAAUAUGCUGUCAGUCAACCGUCGUAGCCAAACCUGCGCCAAAGGCCCACUGUUGUGGUCAGGAGGCUUUUGAUGUGGACAAGCAGCUGUGUUGUGGUCCGACCCAUAACAAGACGAUCCUGACGAGAUAUUCCAGUGACCACCUGUGCUGUGGAAAUAACCAGUUUGACUCUAAAGCUGAGUGCUGCUGUUUGAUACAGAACGCUCUGAAGACACAACCCAUCAGUUCCAGCUGCUGCGUGAAGGAGUCAGGUCGAUGUGAUGAGGCCCCUCCUGUGUAUAACCCACAUACGCAUAUCUGCUGUGUUGGCUGUGUAUCCGAGCGGAAGUCUGAGUGGAAACCUUGGAUAGAUCAAUUUUAUGUCUCACAUGGACAACACUACUGCGGGACAGAACUCUAUUGGCCUCACACCCAGAUCUGCUGCAAUGGACACAGACAUCACAAAAAGGAAAACACCCACUGCUGUGGGGUAAAAGCCUACAACAUUAAAGACCCGCGGAUGAAGUGCUGUGCAUGGGCACUACACACCCUGACUAUUGGACAUGAAGGGCAGUGCUGUGGAUCCAUUCUGCAAACCUCAAUGAAUGUUUGCUGCUCGAGUGAGGACGAGGAGGUGCUCUACUCUGCAAAGACAGGAUACCGAUGCUGUGGUCACCGCUACUACAACCCCUCACUGUGGUCCUGCUGUGCAGGGAAGCUGAGUCCAGUACAGCAACCACGACAGAAUGAGAGCGAGAGGGUUAAAGAAUCCAUCCUUCUGUCAGUUAACAAUCUGAAUGAAACAAAUCUUUGCGACGAAAUGCGAAUCGGAACUUUGGAAAGUGUGUCUCCGCACAGCAUCAUGUUCGGCAACGUGCUGAAAAUCCAUGGAAGAAAUGGCAUCGUCACACAUAUGGCCUCACCUCAAAUCCUGAAAACACCUGAUCGCUGCAGCUUCCCUAAACUGAUCCCUGGGAACAACUACUUAUUUGAUGAAGUUAAUGUUUUUGCUGAUUUCCAACAUAACUCUAUUCUCCAGUCGCUCCAUUUCAUUAUUUCCAAGUGUCAUCGUCCUUAGGUCACCACUGUUACCUGUUACCAAAGCAGCGUGCAACGGUUCACUUGCUAAAUAUGCUAUUUAUACCUUUGUUAAACUUGUCUGUUAUCUACUAUCUUGCCUGCAGUAACGAAAAUGAGCUGUUAUCCACGUUUUGUGCAGAGGAUUAGCAUUAGACACUGUUGCCUAUUAUGGUCUUGAACAGAACUUGAUUUGCUCAUGAUUCCAUCUCAACUUGAUCUCAACUGCUUUUGAACUUGGACUCGAUCAAGUUCAAUUGAAUAGAUCCCUCAUCUAAUGUGUUUUUGCUUUCAGAGUAUUAUGCUAGUCUUUGUUAUUUUAUACUUACAUAUUUAAAUGAUAUAAUAAAUGACAAAUGUUUGCACACAUGUUUUUCCCUCAAAAUAAAUGACAGGAUUUAUCAUCCAAAAUAUCUGGAAUAGAUAUAUAUAAUAUAUAAUAAGACCUGUGAGUGCUUUAAGUGUUAUGUAUUUAUCUGAAUAAAC